rnacentral:rRNA from 1 species
ACGGCAGCACGGGUGCUUGCACCUGGUGGCGAGUGGCGAACGGGUGAGUAAUGUAUCGGAACGUAUCCGGAAGUGGGGGAUAGCCCGGCGAAAGCCGGAUUAAUACCGCAUAUGCCCUGAGGGGGAAAGUGGGGGACCGCAAGGCCUCACGCUUUCGGAGUGGCCGAUAUCGGAUUAGCUAGUAGGUUAGGUAAAGGCUGACCUAGGCGACGAUCCGUAGCGGGUCUGAGAGGACGAUCCGCCACACUGGGACUGAGACACGGCCCAGACUCCUACGGGAGGCAGCAGUGGGGAAUUUUGGACAAUGGGGGCAACCCUGAUCCAGCCAUGCCGCGUGAGUGAAGAAGGCCUUCGGGUUGUAAAGCUCUUUCGGACGGAAAGAAAUUGCCAUCUCUAACAUAGGUGGUGGAUGACGGUACCGUAAGAAGAAGCACCGGCUAACUACGUGCCAGCAGCCGCGGUAAUACGUAGGGUGCGAGCGUUAAUCGGAAUUACUGGGCGUAAAGCGUGCGCAGGCGGUUUUGUAAGACAGGCGUGAAAUCCCCGGGCUUAACCCGGGAACUGCGCUUGUGACUGCAAGGCUAGAGUGCGGCAGAGGGGGGUAGAAUUCCACGUGUAGCAGUGAAAUGCGUAGAGAUGUGGAGGAAUACCGAUGGCGAAAGCAGCCCCCUGGGUCGACACUGACGCUCAUGCACGAAAGCGUGGGGAGCAAGCAGAUUAGAUACCCUGGUAGUCCACGCCCUAAACGAUGUCAACUAGUGUUGGGGAAGGAGACUUCCUUUAGUACGCAGCUAACGCGUGAAGUUGACCGCCUGGGG